rnacentral:pre_miRNA from 1 species
UCAAGGUGAGAAUCACAGUGUGGCUCUCCUCUGGCAUGAAGGCGCGGCUGAGAGGCACGAACAGUUUCUGGCCUUCCCCUGCCAAUGCCAAAGGAGAGCUGCCCUGCCAUUCGUUAGCCCUGCAA